GAUGAACGCUAGCUACAGGCUUAACACAUGCAAGUCGAGGAACCGGCGCACGGGUGAGUAACGCGUAUCCAACCUGCCCACCACUUGGGGAUAACCUUGCGAAAGUAAGACUAAUACCCAAUGGUGAUGGAUGGGGAUGCGUCUGAUUAGCUUGUUGGCGGGGUAACGGCCCACCAAGGCGACGAUCAGUAGGGGUUCUGAGAGGAAGGUCCCCCACAUUGGAACUGAGACACGGUCCAAACUCCUACGGGAGGCAGCAGUGAGGAAUAUUGGUCAAUGGACGAGAGUCUGAACCAGCCAAGUAGCGUGCAGGAUGACGGCCUAUGGGUUGUAAACUGCUUUUAUAAGGGAAUAUGUACCUUAUGAAUAAGGACCGGCUAAUUCCGUGCCAGCAGCCGCGGUAAUACGGAAGGUCCGGGCGUUAUCCGGAUUUAUUGGGUUUAAAGGGAGCGUAGGCCGGAGAUUAAGCGUGUUGUGAAAUGUAGAUGCUCAACAUCUGCACUGCAGCGCGAACUGGUUUCCUUGAGUACGCACAAAGUGGGCGGAAUUCGUAGUGUAGCGUGAAAAUGCUUAGAUAUCACGAAGAACUCCGA
rnacentral:rRNA from 1 species